CUAUUUGUAGCUAUGAGUCUGGGAGAGCAAGAGGAGUGAAGCAGAACGUGGAGGCCUUGGGGUGGUUCAAUAUUCAGAGGACUGGAAGAGGAGAUGCCAGCAUCAUGAAGGCUUUUACUCAAACCUCUUGUUGAACCCUACUUUAUGUUGCUGUAGAGACCACCUAUCUCCUUGAGAAUGCUUCAGAAAAAGCCCAAAGUGAACAUCUUAGUGACAUCUAGCCUAGAUUUUAAGCUUACAUCCUGCUGGAAUCACUGAGACUGGUAAUGCAGGGGGAAGCAGCUGCUGGGUUCAGCCUUCACAGUUCAGAUCCUCCCAGGAGAGAGGUAGAACUUAUUUUAUGCAAGUAUCCUUGACAAAAGGAGUUUUAAAG